CCAUAAUGAUAAUUACACAGGGCUGGAGAGAUGGCUCAGAGGUUAAGAGCACUGGCUGCUCUUCCAGAGGAUCCGGGUUCAAUUCCCAGCACCCACAUGGCAUGCA
rnacentral:miRNA from 1 species